UACGUAGGGGGCAAGCGUUGUCCGGAUUCAUUGGGCGUAAAGGGUGCGUAGGCGGCGCGGUAAGUCGGGUGUGAAAUCUCGGGGCUUAACUCCGAAACUGCAUUCGAUACUGCCGUGCUUGAGGACUGGAGAGGAGACUGGAAUUUACGGUGUAGCGGUGAAAAUGCGUAGAUAUCGUAAGGAAGACCAGUGGCGAAGGCGGGUCUCUGGACAGUUCCUGACGCUGAGGCACGAAGGUCAGGGGAGCAAACGGG
rnacentral:rRNA from 1 species